ACGGGUGAGUAACGCGUGGGUAACCUGCCUUAUACAGGGGGAUAACAGUCAGAAAUGGCUGCUAAUACCGCAUAAGCGCACAGAGCUGCAUGGCUCAGUAUGAAAAACUCCGGUGGUAUAAGAUGGACCCGCGUUGGAUUAGCUAGUUGGUGGGGUAACGGCCCACCAAGGCGACGAUCCAUAGCCGGCCUGAGAGGGUGAACGGCCACAUUGGGACUGAGACACGGCCCAGACUCCUACGGGAGGCAGCAUG
rnacentral:rRNA from 1 species